rnacentral:rRNA from 1 species
AAAGGCGGCUUCGGCUGUCACUUAUGGAUGGACCCGCGUCGCAUUAGCUAGUUGGUGAGGUAACGGCUCACCAAGGCAACGAUGCGUAGCCGACCUGAGAGGGUGAUCGGCCACACUGGGACUGAGACACGGCCCAGACUCCUACGGGAGGCAGCAGUAGGGAAUCUUCCGCAAUGGACGAAAGUCUGACGGAGCAACGCCGCGUGAGUGAUGAAGGCUUUCGGGUCGUAAAACUCUGUUGUUAGGGAAGAACAAGUGCUAGUUGAAUAAGCUGGCACCUUGACGGUACCUAACCAGAAAGCCACGGCUAACUACGUGCCAGCAGCCGCGGUAAUACGUAGGUGGCAAGCGUUAUCCGGAAUUAUUGGGCGUAAAGCGCGCGCAGGUGGUUUCUUAAGUCUGAUGUGAAAGCCCACGGCUCAACCGUGGAGGGUCAUUGGAAACUGGGAGACUUGAGUGC